CCUUAUCUCACGCAUCUCCACCUCUAGCGCGCCUCCACCCCCUUCCACGCUGCCGCCCGCCGCUGGCCCCCGCCCCUCCGUCGCGCGCCGCCCCUGCCUGACACCGCCCCUCCGCCGUGCGCCGCCCCCGCCGGCCACCGCCCCUCCGCCAGGCGCCGCCCUCGUCGGCCACUGCCCCUCCGCCGUGCACCGCCACCACCGGGGACACUCGACGCCGACGCCACACCUUCCCCCAACUCCUCUCUCUCCUCCUCCUUUGCUGCACCGCUCUUCAUCAUCCGGCCAACUCCGUCGAAACGGACAGGCGGCGCUGGAGUUCGCCGAAAUGGGCCGAUGGGCGGUAAGAGGGCGGCGGCGGCGCGAGGAAGACUGACGGAUUCAGGCGUGGCGUCGAGGGAUCUUGCGUCUGGUGCGACAGCUUGCUACGAUGGCGGCGGCUGGUGCCCUGCUCAUCCAGAGAAAGAGAGAGAUAGGGCGUGAGGGAGAGAGCAAAGAGAAGAAGAAAGGAGAAGGAGAAGGGGCGCAGGGUGAGGGAGGCGGGCAGGGCAGCGUGCUCCUGUUGAGGCGGCAGGGCUCGCUGCUGGCUGGUUCCUCGGGAUCGAGCCUUGGCUUUCUCGAGGCGUGCGGUUGCCGGCAAGGGUAGCACAUCUCGCUGGAGCACACGUUGUUCCUGCCCAGAGGCCUCGGAUCGACCGGCUGGGCUCGGCGCUGCUGAGCAACGACGGUGGCGCGGGGGGGGGGGGGGGGGGGGGGGGGCGGGUUCAAGGGGAUCAUUGAGGACGCCAGCAGCAGCCUCUUCAAACUACGUGUAAUUCCUGUACCAUUGGCUUUAUCGGUUAUUUGUAUGAGAUUCACCCUGUUUGUGUCAAGGAAAGAGCUGGAAGGAGAGUACAUUGACGAGGAGGGGAAGAAUGGCUAGGCAGAUUGCCCACAACUCUGCACAGGUGCAGCCAAACAAAGCCUAGCUGGACAUCAUUUGUCAAGGUUUGCACACAACUACACAUUGAAAAUUCUAGAUGGGUUGAUCCAGAUCUUGGUGCUACUGCCUAUCAUCCAUAGCAUCUCCUCUUUUUACCACCAGCCACCACUACCACAAUGGUACAGAUCUCACCUGCAACUCCAUGUCACUCCCUUGCCUUAAUAUCUUCUUAUACUUGUUGUUUGUUUGGUCCAUCAUCAGUUCCUCACACAAAUCAGGUUGUCCCACCGGCCUACAGAACUUGGAUAUUUGCUACGACAAUCUGCCAUGUGGUGCAUUACUUGGUUGAUGCCCAUCGAGAGUUCAAGACUAAUCCACACUAGACAUUCUUGAUUCUUUAUUAUUUGCAUUAUUUUCAGAUCCAUUACCUUCAUGCAUAUCGUCAUCUAUGCAGCACAUGCCAAAAAGCUCUGUCGACGUGGUGCGUAUAUAGUAAUCUAACAAGGCAGCACACAUGUAUGCAAGCAGAGAGACAUACAAUACCAUGAGGGCAUCCUAUAGACAAAAAGGACAUUCAAGGAAUUAAGAAACUGAAUCGUCUCCGCAGAACAAACUGCAAGCUUUGAAAUCAUUGAAGUGUUGGUAAUUCCGUAAUCUCUUAACAUAGGCUGCCACCAUCAUGCUUCUCAGGUAGGCUAAUCCUUUUCUCCAUCAAGUUGUUCAUUACGUUCAAGACAGUGAGUAGCACACAACCUAAACAAAUGCAUAAUAUUGUCUGUUGAUGUCCCCACCACGAAGGCCCGGAGACUCUGUUCAUAAUCACCUCUCGCCAUAUCCGGUGAGGAUUAUGGUCUAGGCAGAGCAGCGCAUGAUGUUGUAGUGUGUCUAUUGUCAAUGACACUGUCGUGAUAUUGUCCACUUUGUCCCGGUGGUUCGAAAGCGACGCAAUGACAUCAUGUUUCUUCUCCUCAGUGAGUUUAUUAUUUUUCAUAGACCUCAUGGUAUAAAUAUAAGUUCUUGAUUCUUCUUCCACUCGAUCAUAUUCAUCUGCAUCUACUUGGUUGAAAUAUAUUUUUUCCCGAGUGAAUACCUUGCUUGUGUAUAACUGCUAUGUAGGAGUAGAGUACCGAGGGCUGAGGAGGCAAGUGCUGGAGAGGGUGGCAUGCAUCAGGGUGAGAGGGAAGAAAGUGCUGGAGGAUGUAAACAUUUGGAGGAACAUGUAUAGAGUGGUUCUUUGUGGGGAAAAUGUAUAGAGUGGUUGGUGUAUACGUCCUUUUUGUGAUAAUAAUAAAUGAAGUGCAUUCUGGUGUUAUGGUUGUGACUGAAGAUGUUACCGGCAGAAGCAAUUGCUACGUAAGUGUGAA